ACGGGAGGCAGCAGUGGGGAAUAUUGGGCAAUGGACGCAAGUCUGACCCAGCAACGCCGCGUGAAGGAUGAAGGUCUUCGGAUUGUAAACUUUUGUCUUUGGAGACGAAUCAAUGACGGUAUCCAAAUAGGAAGCUCCGGCUAACUACGUGCCAGCAGCCGCGGUAAUACGUAGGGAGCGAGCGUUAUCCGGAAUUACUGGGUGUAAAGGGUGCGUAGGCGGGAUGUAAAGUCAGAUGUGAAAUACCGAGGCUUAACUUCGGAGCUGCAUUUGAAACUUACAUUCUUGAGUGAAGUAGAGGCAAGCGGAAUUCCCAGUGUAGCGGUAAAAUGCGUAGAUAUUGGGAGGAACACCAGUGGCGAAGGCGGCUUGCUGGGCUUUAACUGACGCUGAGGCACGAAAGCAUGGGGAGCAAACAGGAUUAGAUACCCUGGUA
rnacentral:rRNA from 3 species